rnacentral:misc_RNA from 1 species
GUUGGGCACACACACACACACACACACAAUAUAUAUAUAUAUGUAUGUAUAUUGCAAAUGCACAAGCUGCUGCUAUUGUAUUAUUAUUGUAAUUGGUGUAUGCGUAUUGUUGCCUAUUACUAUAUAUAGAGAGCGCAUUGUGCAAGAUGAGGCGUGGCUCUGCACAACGCCGUAGGGGUGGAGGGAGGGAAAGGGGGAGGGCUAGGGAGAGAGCGCCCAGCUCUCUCAACACUGAAAACGGGAGGAGUGGGUACGACCAUACUUGGCCGAAUGCACCACAUCCCGUCCGAUUUGUGAAGUAAGCGCCCCGCUC